rnacentral:rRNA from 1 species
UACGUAGGCAGCAAGCGUUGUUCGGAGUUACUGGGCGUAAAGAGUGCGUAGGCGGUCCGCUAAGUUCGGUGUGAAAUCUCCCGGCUCAACUGGGAGGGUGCGCCGAAGACUGGCGGGCUUGAGUGCGGGGAGAGGAAAGCGGAAUUCCUGGUGUAGCGGUGAAAUGCGUAGAUAUACAGGAGGAAACACCCGUGCGGGUGUAGACGGCUUUCUGGACCGUAACUGACGCUGAGGCACGAAAGCGUGGGUAGCCAAACAGGG